ACAAUAGCUGGAUAUCUCAGCUGGUUAGAGCAUGGUGCUGGCAACGCCAAGGUUGCAAGUUUGAUCACAGUUGCCUAUGCUUGUA